rnacentral:rRNA from 1 species
UACAGAGGGUGCGAGCGUUGUCCGGAAUCACUGGGCGUAAAGGGCGCGUAGGUGGCCCGACAAGUCAAUGGUGAAAGCUCGACGCUCAACGUCGAGUCGGCCACUGAUACUGUUGGGCUGGAGCACUGUAGAGGCUCAUGGAAUUCCGGGUGUAGCGGUGGAAUGCGUAGAGAUCCGGAAGAACACCGGUGGCGAAGGCGGUGAGCUGGGCAGUAGCUGACACUGAGGCGCGACAGCGUGGGGGAGCAAACAGG